UUAGAUGUUGGCUCAAUGAUUAAGAGCUCUGGCUGCUCUUCCAGAGGACCUGGGUUCAAUCCCCAGCACCUACA
rfam:Cricetulus griseus cell line CHO-K1, whole genome shotgun sequence.